rnacentral:rRNA from 1 species
GACGAACGCUGGCGGCGUGCUUAACACAUGCAAGUCGAACGAAGUGGCGCACGGGUGAGUAACGCGUAAUCAACCUGCCCUUCAGAGGGGGACAACAGUUGGAACCGACUGCUAAUACCGCAUACUGAAGGAGGGGAUUGCGGCUGAUUAGGUAGUUGGAGGGGUAACGGGCCACCAAGGCGAUGAUCAGUAGCCGGACUUGGAGGAUGAACGGCCACAUUGGGACUGAGACACGGGCCAGACUCCCACGGGGGGCAGCAGUUGGGAAUCUUCCGCAAUGGACGAAAGUCUGACGGAGCAACGCCGCGUGAGGGAUGACGGCUUUCGGGUUGUAAAGCUUUUUUAAUCGGGACGCGGUACCGGAAUAGAAAGCCACGGCUAACUACGUGCCAGCAGCCGCGGUAAUAC